rnacentral:rRNA from 1 species
GACGAACGCUGGCGGCGUGCUUAACACUUGCAAGUCGAACGAUGAAGCUGGAGCUUGCUCCGGUGGAUUAGUGGCGAACGGGUGAGUAACACGUGAGCAAUCUGCCCUUGACUCUGGGAUAACUGCGGGAAACUGUAGCUAAUACUGGAUACUUUCACUGGAAGGCAUCUUCUGGUGAAGAAAGAAUUUCGGUCAAGGAUGAGCUCGCGGCCUAUCAGCUUGUUGGUGAGGUAACGGCUCACCAAGGCGACGACGGGUAGCCGGCCUGAGAGGGUGACCGGCCACACUGGGACUGAGACACGGCCCAGACUCCUACGGGAGGCAGCAGUGGGGAAUAUUGCACAAUGGGCGCAAGCCUGAUUCAGCAACGCCGCGUGAGGGAUGAAGGCCUUCGGGUUGUAAACCUCUUUUAGCAGGGAAGAAGCGAAAGUGACGGUACCUGCAGAAAAAGCACCGGCUAACUACGUGCCAGCCGCCGCCGUAA